AGCUACCUAUUUAUGUCUCAGUAUCCCAGGACAAAAAGCAAAAAGUAAGGGGCAUAUGGAAACGCUGUAUUAUUUUUUUAACCUUUCUCUAAAUCUUCAAUUAUCCCAAAAUUUAUUCAAAAUAAAUAAAUGAAAGGUGCAGUAUUUAGAAAGCAUUCUCAAGUUAACACUGGCAAAGCUGGUACAACCCUUCAUGCCUCUUAGAUCAUGAAGUCAGUAGAAUUACUCUUGAAAAUAGCAUAUUUUACCGAAUAAUUAUUAAUGUAUGACCUCUCUAGGUAUAAAUACACAUGUGUGUGUAUAUAUUUGGAGUCACAUAUAAUAAAGUUAGAAAUAGGGUAAUUACUGUUAUUUGAUUCAUAAAAUAACAUUAAAAAAUCAGUUACUAUGUGGAGUUCCCAUCCUGGCGCAGCAGAAACGAAUCCGACUAGGAAUCAUGAGGUUGCGGGUUCGAUCCCUAGCCUCGCUCAGUGGGUUAAGCAUCUGGCAUUGCCGUGAUCUGUGGUGUAAGUUGCAGAUGUGGCUCGGAUCUGGCUUUGCUGUGGCUCUGGCACAGGCUGGCAGCUGUAGCUCCGAUUAGACCCCGAGCCUGGAAACCUUCAUAUGCCGAGGGUGUGGCCCUAUAAAGCCAAAAAGACCAAAAAAAAAAAAAAAUCACUUACUAUGUUGGCCUUCCUUUUUUCUUGUUUUUGUUAAAAAACAUUUUAAUGUUUGCUAAAAGUGUAAUGCUAAAAAGUAUAUCUGAAAUGCUACUUAGAAUGUCUUAUUUAAAGAUGUUCGCAGAUAUGUCCUAAUGAUAUUCCAAGUCUUGUAAUAUAAGAAAAGUCUCUCAUGAUGGGGCAGGAGGAGCUUUAGGUCUAAUAACUAUUUGGGGAAAGCAAAAUAGUUUAUUGUCCACUAAACUUUCUAGUUAUUCAGUGCUGACUCUGAAAAAUUCCAAAAGUGGAAUCUUUCUUGAUAGGACAUUCCACUUGCCUCAGUCAACUUGAAAUAGAGCUGUACCUGUGAAUUGUCUGUCACAGAGCUGUUUAACAGAGCAGCUUACAAUUCAUUUGCCGGAAUACCUAAGACUAUAAUUCAAGUGUGAAGAUGGAAUGCAUAUUUCAAUAUACUGAGUUUAGCAUGUAGAAGGAAUAUAUGUUUUCUAAUGUGAUCUUCUAAAUGGCUUUCUACCUAAUUUGGAAAAUGUUUUAAAGACAGACAGAGCCUAGCCUUUUCAACUGUAAAAUGGGAAGGUAUCCAUUUGCUGAAGCUUUCUUUUUUUAGAAUGUUCAAACUCAGACAUUUUAUAGACUAAAUAAAUUGCUUAAGUCAACAAUAUCCUGGAUUCUAUAAAUUAACAGCAUCUUUCUUAAAUUGCCAUUAUCGUAUGCAUUGCAAGUAAUAUACUAUCAUCUGAUUUAUACUCUAAGUUGCAAAUGUAUAAUUACUAGAAUUUAACCUCUCCAGAUUGAUGUAAUUCAACCUAAUUAUCCUGGCUACAUAAAUGCAUGCUAAUCAGCAAGAACAUACUUAAAUAAAACAAGAAUGUUAAAACACAACAAGUACAGAAUAAACAAACACUUGAAGAAGGAAAAAAAAUUCAAGGACUAAUUAAUAAUCAGCAAUAAAUCAUAAAUGUGUACUAUGUUAAAGGGUUUCCCUGUCCACUCGGACCUCAGUGUGGCCAGAAUUGUUUCAGCAUGUAUUCUGAACACUGUCCACAUUCAUGGUUCUGCCUCUGUAUUCAUUUCUUUUCUUUCUUUCUUUCUUUUCUUUCUUUUCUUUCUUUUCUUUCUUUCUUUCUUUCUUUCUUCCUUUCUUCCUUUCUUUCUUUCUUUCUUUCUUUCUUUCUUUCUUUCUUUCUUUCUUUCUUUCUUUCUUUCUUUCUUUUUUAAAUGACUUACCUAACACUAAUUCAGGAGUUCCCAUCGUGGUGCAGCAGAAACAAAUCCAACUAGGAACCAUGAGGUUGCGGGUUUGAUCCCUGGCCUUGCUCAGUGGGUUAAGGAUUUGGCAUUGCCGUGAGCUGUGGUGUAGGUCUCAGGUGUGGCUCAGAUCUGGCAUUGCUAUGGCUGUGGUGUAGGCCAGCAGCUGUAGCUCCAAUUAGACCCCUAGCCUGGGAACCUCCAUAUGCUGUAAGUACGGCCCUAAAAAGACAAAAGAGCAAAAAACAAAACAAAACACUAAUUCAAAGAAAAAAGAUAAUGUUAUUUUUAAAGGUUAUUCAUUUGCUUGCUGAACUCCCCCAAAUGAGUCCCCAUGAGGCUUAAAUUCCAGUCCAACUCCUAACCUACAAGAUCUUCCUCAACCUGGCUCUGACCUCUCCCUUGCUCUGAGGGUCUACACUGCAGCAACCACAGGAGGUGAAUUCUUGUUUCUCUAAGAUGCCUGACUCACUCCUGCCUCAGGGCCUUAGCACUUGCUUGUUACCUCCGUCCUGAAAGCUGGCUCUUGUUCCCUCAUACCCCAGCCCCAAACAAGUCAGGUUCUAGGCAGUGCUUUCUUUCUAUCACCUCCUCCAUGUGUUUCUUAGAA
rnacentral:lncRNA from 9 species